rnacentral:rRNA from 1 species
UACAGAGGUCCCAAGCGUUGUUCGGAUUCACUGGGCGUAAAGGGUGCGUAGGUGGUUGGGUAAGUCUGAUGUGACAUCUCCGAGCCUAACUCGGAAACUGCAUCGGAUACUAUUCGGCUAGAGGAUUGGAGGGGGGACUGGAAUACUUGGUGUAGCAGUGAAAUGCGUAGAUAUCAAGUGGAACACCAGUGGCGAAGGCGAGUCCCUGGACAAGUACUGACGCUGAGGCACGAAAGCUAGGGGAGCAAACAGG